UAUUAAGGUGAGCUGGCUGAAUCGUUAGCACGCCGGACAAAAUGCUUCGCAGCAUUUUGUUCAUCUUUACGUUCUGAGUUCGCAAUCCGCCGACAUCGACUUUGCCUUUCAUCCUUUCAGGGGUCGAGAAAAUAUGUACAAGUCGAGCGCUGGGUCCGAUAUAAUUGAUUAACUUAUUCAUUUAAAACAUCAGGCAUUGCACCUAUAGUAGAAAGGAUCAUUAUUAUUAUCGUUAUAUUCUCAUCUUCAUCAUUUGAUUGCCUUUAAACAUAAGCUGUGUUUCUGAAUGUGAACUUCAUUUCCCGGUUUGAGUCAUUUCACUUCACAUUCACUUAUAAAUACACUUUAGAAAGUGAUGAACGUCAUGUAAUCUUUAAAUUAGGAGCCUUGUGCCUAAGCGUAAAUGUUUUAUUAUUAUUAUUAUUAUUAUUAUCAGGCAACGAGCUGGGAGAAUCGUUAGCACACCGGACAAAAUGCUUAGCGGCAUUUAUUCCGGCUUUACAUUCUGAGAUCACAUUGCAUCGAUGUCGACUUUACUGUUCAUACUUUCAAACACGAUGAAAUAGAAUACCAGUUAAGUACUGGGGUUGAUGAAAUCGACUUCCCUCUCCCCAUAAAAUCUGCUGCUCCUGUGCCAAAAUUUGAAACCAUUAAUAUUAUUAUUAUUGUUAUUAUUAUUAUUAAAAGCGUUGAAUGGGAAGAAUCAGUAGAGCGUUUAGCGAAAAUGCCUUGUGUUUUUGUUACGUCUUCUAAAUUCUGAGUUUAAAUUCGGCCGAGGUCAACUUUGCAAUCUUUUAGUGAUCGGUAAAAUGCCAAUCAAUUGCAGAGAAAAAAUGUCAGGUUUCCACCGAUAAGGAUUUCUGUCACAUUCAUGAGAUUAUAAACAAUGGGAUUUUUAUGGUAGUGAAACUACCAUCAGUUCGAAAUUUUGCAGAAGAGCGAAAAAUUUAACUUUCAUCCAUUUUUGAAGAAAAGGAUCAUUGCCAGAAGUACCAAUCACUUGCCAAAUUUUGGUAAGUCAGUGUGACCAUUCACACCACGUCCUCACAUUAGAAUUGUCUGCAACACAUGCCUAAAAACAAAUCGAUAAUAAUAAUAAUAAUAAUAGAAAGCACAAAACCAAAAGAAAUCAUUACAUAAGCCCAACGCACUAAGAUCUGAGUUUGGGUUCAGUUGCGUUGUAAAGGCCCAUUAUAAACAUAGACCUUUAAAAAGUAAUAAUAAUAAUAAUAAUAACGAGACUGCAAUACAGAAAUUUAGGGAAUUUCAAUAGCUCAUUAAUAUUUUUCAAUGAUGAACCAAACUUCAGAAGUCCAUACAGGACGAUCGUGAUAUCAGCUGGGUGAUAUCAAUUCAUAAUUAUUUCCCCUUUGCAUUUAAGAAAAAGAUUCAUUAAAAUAUAAUAUAUAUAUAUGAAUAAAAAAAUUAUCAUAACUAUACUUAUACAAAAUCAAAAAUUAAACAUAAAAAAAAGAUAUAAAAAUGAAGUUAAAAAAAUGGACUUUGCAUUAUCUGUCGCGUGUUUUAUGAACUUUCUUCAUCUUUAAAUGUAUUUUUCUUCUAUAUUGUUCUAAAAUAAUCAUGUUGUUGAUCUUGUUGUUAUUGUUGUUGUUCUCAUGAUUGUUGUUGCUAUUGUUAUUCUUGUUAGUUGAAAGUAUUUUUAACUAUUAACAAACCGUGUCAGUAACAUGGUUUGAUUAUACAUUUUUAUCGAUUAUUUUUGAAAGUUGAUAUAUAUAUAUAUAUAUAUACCAUGCUAAGAUUAACAUCAUCAUGAUCAUUUAUGUAAAUAAGACAACUGCAAUAUUAUUAUUAUUAUUAUUAUUAUUAUUAUUAUUAUUAUUAUUAUUAUUAUUUUCAACAUCCUCAUCAACAGCAGCAACAUCUCUGUCAUCGUUUUCAUCUAUAGGAAAUUCAGAUUAUAGAAAGAAGUCUAAUCUUCAAUAAUGUUUUUCUUCCACAUUUCCCACCUUCCAAUUCUGACUGAAUUUUAUGAUGAUGAUUAUGAUGGUGGUGAUGAAAAUGAGGGGCGAUAAUUGAAAUAAUGAUGAUGAUGUUGAUGAUAUAUUUUUUUUUAAUGUGUUUCUCUUAUAAUAGUUCUUUUUGUGACACUCAGACACUCAGAUGAACACGAGCGUUCGAAAACAUGAACACACAACGUAACUUCAGAUAAAUACACCCAUAUGAAUAUAUUGAAUCGUAUUGUCAACUGGCCUUGGUUUGUUAAAAGUUAAUGAUAAUAAUGAUGAUGAUAAUCAUACUAAUAAUAAUAAUUCUGUGUGAAACAA